GCUAGGUGUAAGAUUUGUUUUACAGUAAGUUAUUUGGAUGAAUAUAAACAUUUUGACCAUCACUGACUCUAAAGACAAUUUAAGAACUAACUCAGGGAAAUAAAGAUAGCACUAGGUUUUGCUGUGUACUCUUAGCACUCUAAGCUUCAGGGAACAGCAAUUAGAGAGCCUGCUUGACCUUAUCUAGACUGUCUUUGGUCUUGGGGUUAUUUUAACGUAUCAAUACACGUUUAAUUGCUAUGAAUAAGAAACUGAAACCAAACUAGUCAAAACCCAAGUUAAACCAGAAAGGAGAAUUUUAUCAAGCUUUAACCCCCAAAGUACUAUCAAACAUAUUGAGCUGACCAUUAACCCGUCGGGAACACUGAGUCCCAACUUGAACUUGGAAGUGACUCACUCUGUGAUCCCAGCUUGACUCCCUUAAACCCUCUGCUCCUUAGUUUCCACAUUUGUCUCCCUUUAACAGGUCCAGCUAUCAGCAGAACUCCCUGUCCAAGGAGGCUCAUAGCAGCUACGCAGAGAACAGAGAAGGAAGCUGCUUGCUGUAGCUGGCACCUUAAGGACGACAGACAGCCGACAGGGCAACUCACCCUGAAGAUCUUCUCUCUGGUGGAGAAAGAGUACAGUGGCCAACACAAAGAUGCAAUCAAGGGAGGGAAGUAAAACCCAGACAUUUAAUAAACAGGAUAAUCAGGACA
rnacentral:lncRNA from 1 species